AACGAACGCCGGCGGCAUGCCUAACACAUGCAAGUCGAACGAGACCUUCGGGUCUAGUGGCGCACGGGUGCGUAACGCGUGGGAAUCUGCCCUUGGGUUCGGAAUAACAGUUAGAAAUGACUGCUAAUACCGGAUGAUGACGUAAGUCCAAAGAUUUAUCGCCCAAGGAUGAGCCCGCGUAGGAUUAGCUUGUUGGUGAGGUAAAGGCUCACCAAGGCGACGAUCCUUAGCUGGUCUGAGAGGAUGAUCAGCCACACUGGGACUGAGACACGGCCCAGACUCCUACGGGAGGCAGCAGUGGGGAAUAUUGGACAAUGGGCGAAAGCCUGAUCCAGCAAUGCCGCGUGAGUGAUGAAGGCCUUAGGGUUGUAAAGCUCUUUUACCCGGGAUGAUAAUGACAGUACCGGGAGAAUAAGCCCCGGCUAACUCCGUGCCAGCCGCCGCCGUAA
rnacentral:rRNA from 1 species